UGGCGAGAUAGUUUAAUGAAAAUGUCUAUCUUACGCGUAGAAGUUGGUCGGUGUGCCUAUCGUCAG
rnacentral:tRNA from 1 species